rnacentral:misc_RNA from 1 species
GAUGAAGAACGUAGCAAAAUGCGGUAAGUAAUGUGAAUUGCAGAAUUCAGUGAAUCAUCGAAUCUUUGAACGCACAUUGCGCCCGCCAGUAUUCUGGCGGGCAUGCCUGUUCGAGCGUCAUUUCAACCCUCAAGCCCUCGGGUUUGGUGUUGGGGAUCGGCGAGCCUUUCUGGCAAGCCGGCCCCGAAAUCUAGUGGCGGUCUCGCUGCAGCCUCCAUUGCGUAGUAGUAAAACCCUCGCAACUGGAACGCGGCGCGGCCAAGCCGUUAAACCCCCAACUUCUGAAAGGUUGACCUCGAAUCAGGUAGGAAUACCCGCUGAACUUAAGCAUAUCAAUAAGCGGAGGA